UCUCUACUUUGUGCUCCAGAUUUGUUUCCCUACAAUAUGGCGGAUUAAUGUAUAUUCUUCUGAAGUCAUAGUACAUUCAUGGUCUGUAUAUAUGUUUGUAUGCUGCAAACCUGAGUCCGGUUUCAAAGUUUGGCCGCAGCUAGCUUGAUUUGGAGACAUUUCCUGUUAGGAGUUAAACUUUGGUUUGGAGGCAUCGAGCUUUGGCUGUAACUAGCUUUGUUACUUGGUAUACCUCUGUCAGCAUUCAGGAGCCGGGUAGUUGUUGAGCGGGUUGUGGGAGAGGCGGUCGGCGAGCGCGGGCUAGACGGGAAGGUGAUGCUUGCGAUGGCGACCAUGCCGGCGGGCAGGGCAAGGUCGAUUGUGUCCAUCAUGGUGUUUCCGAGGGAGAGCGAGGCAUCUGCC